AGAGUUUGAUCAUGGCUCAGGACGAACGCUGGCGGCGUGCUUAACACAUGCAAGUCGAACGGAAAGGCCCUUCGGGGUACUCGAGUGGCGAACGGGUGAGUAACACGUGGGUGAUCUGCCCUGCACUCUGGGAUAAGCCUGGGAAACUGGGUCUAAUACCGGAUAGGACCGCAUGCUUCAUGGUGUGUGGUGCAAAGCUUUUGCGGUGUGGGAUGAGCCCGCGGCCUAUCAGCUUGUUGGUGGGGUAAUGGCCUACCAAGGCGACGACGGGUAGCCGGCCUGAGAGGGUGACCGGCCACACUGGGACUGAGAUACGGCCCAGACUCCUACGGGAGGCAGCAGUGGGGAAUAUUGCACAAUGGGCGCAAGCCUGAUGCAGCGACGCCGCGUGAGGGAUGACGGCCUUCGGGUUGUAAACCUCUUUCAGUAGGGACAAAGCGAAAGUGACGGUACCUACAGAAGAAGGACCGGCCAACUACGUGCCAGCAGCCGCGGUAAUACGUAGGGUCCGAGCGUUGUCCGGAAUUACUGGGCGUAAAGAGCUCGUAGGUGGUUUGUCGCGUUGUUCGUGAAAACUCACAGCUUAACUGUGGGCGUGCGGGCGAUACGGGCAGACUAGAGUACUGCAGGGGAGACUGGAAUUCCUGGUGUAGCGGUGGAAUGCGCAGAUAUCAGGAGGAACACCGGUGGCGAAGGCGGGUCUCUGGGCAGUAACUGACGCUGAGGAGCGAAAGCGUGGGUAGCGAACAGGAUUAGAUACCCUGGUAGUCCAA
rnacentral:rRNA from 1 species